rnacentral:rRNA from 1 species
CCUACGGGCGGCAGCAGUAGGGAAUCUUCCACAAUGGGCGAAAGCCUGAUGGAGCAACGCCGCGUGGGUGAAGAAGGUCUUCGGAUCGUAAAACCCUGUUGUUAGAGAAGAAAGUGCGUGAGAGUAACUGUUCACGUUUCGACGGUAUCUAACCAGAAAGCCACGGCUCACUACGUGCCAGCAGCCGCGGUAAUACGUAGGUGGCAAGCGUUAUCCGGAUUUAUUGGGCGUAAAGGGAACGCAGGCGGUCUUUUAAGUCUGAUGUGAAAGCCUUCGGCUUAACCGGAGUAGUGCAUUGGAGACUGGGAGACUGGAGUGCAGAAGAGGAGAGUGGAACUCCAGGUGUAGCGGUGAAAUGCGUAGAUAUAUGGAAGAACACCAGUGGCGAAAGCGGCUCUCUGGUCUGUAACUGACGCUGAGGUUCGAAAGCGUGGGUAGCAAACAGGAUUAGAUACCCUAGUAGUC